UACGAAGGGGGCUAGCGUUGUUCGGAAUUACUGGGCGUAAAGCGCGUGUAGGCGGGUCUUUAAGUCAGGGGUGAAAUGCCAAGACUCAACCUUGGAACUGCCUUUGAUACUGGAGAUCUUGAGUCCGGGAGAGGUGAGUGGAACUGCGAGUGUAGAGGUGAAAUUCGUAGAUAUUCGCAAGAACACCAGUGGCGAAGGCGGCUCACUGGCCCGGAACUGACGCUGAGACGCGAAAGCGUGGGGAGCAAACAGG
rnacentral:rRNA from 1 species